UACGUAGGGGGCGAGCGUUGUCCGGAGUUACUGGGCGUAAAGCGCACGCAGACGGUCUGCUAAGUUUGGAGUGACAGUUGGUGGCUUAACUGCCAAAGUGCUUCGAAAACUGACAGACUUGAGGGCUUCAGAGGGACACGGAAUUCCGGGUGGAGUGGUGGAAAUGCGUAGAGAUCCGGAGGAACACCAAAGGCGAAGGCAGUGUCCUGGGGAGUACCUGACGCUCAGGUGCGAAAGCCAGGGGAGCGAACGGG
rnacentral:rRNA from 1 species